UACCUGGUUGAUCCUGCCAGUAGUCAUAUGCUUGUCUCAAAGAUUAAGCCAUGCAAGUCUAAGUACGAGCUCUCGUACAGUGAAACUGCGAAUGGCUCAUUAAAUCAGUUAUGGUUCAUUUGAUCGUACAGUUUACUUGGAUAACUGUGGUAAUUCUAGAGCUAAUACAUGCGAGAAGCGCCGACCUCGCGGGAGGCGUGCAUUUAUCAGACCAAAAACCGGCCGCGUCUUCGGGCGCGUUCGCCUUGGUGACUCUGGAUAACUUUGCGGAUCGCACGGUCUAGCACCGGCGACGGAUCAUUCAAGUGUCUGCCCUAUCACUUUCGUCGGUACGGUAUUUGCCUACCGAGGUUCUUACGGGUGACGGGGAAUCUGGGUUCGAUUCCGGAGAGGGAGCCUGAGAAACGGCUACCACAUCCAAGGAAGGCAGCAGGCGCGCAAAUUACCCAUUCCCGACGCGGGGAGGUAGUGACGAAAAAUAACAAUGCAGGACUCGUUCGAGGCCCUGUAAUUGGAAUGAGUACACUUUAAAAGCUUUAACGAGUAUCCAUUGGAGGGCAAGUCUGGUGCCAGCAGCCGCGGUAAUUCCAGCUCCAAAAGUAUAUAUUUAAGUUGUUGCGGUUAAAAAGCUCGUAGUUGGAUUUUGGGCGCAGGCGGCCGGUCCGUCGCAAGGCGUGUACUGGACGUCCUGGCCUUCCCUCCGGUUCUCCGCCGGUGCUCUUGACUGAGUGUCGGCGGCGGCCGGAACGUUUACUUUGAAAAAAUUAGAGUGUUCAAAGCAGGCUCUCGAGCCUGGAUAAUGGUGCAUGGAAUAAUGGAAUAGGACCUCGGUUCUAUUUUGUUGGUUUUCGGAGCGCGAGGUAAUGAUUAAGAGGGACAGACGGGGGCAUUCGUACUGUGCCGUUAGAGGUGAAAUUCUUGGAUCGGCGCAAGACGAACGACUGCGAAAGCAUUUGCCAAGAAUGUUUUCUUUAAUCAAGAGCGAAAGUCAGAGGUUCGAAGACGAUCAGAUACCGUCCUAGUUCUGACUAUAAACGAUGCCAACUAGCGAUCGGGGGGCGUUACAUUGACC
rfam:Ciona savignyi cont_45754, whole genome shotgun sequence.